GCCUGUGACCCAGCCCAGUGAAGAGGAAAAGCUAGAAGCUAAGUCUCUAACUCCAGUUUAAGCAGUCUGCCUCAUCUUCCGUGGAAGCCAGAGGUGGUGUAUUCCCUGGAAGCUGGAGUUAGAGACGGUGGUAAGUCAUCAAAUAUGGCUGGAAACCAAAUCCUGGUCCUCUACUUGAAGAGCUGAGCAUCUGUCUGGCCCAUAGUUGCUGUUUGAUUAUGUGACACCACCCACAAUGGGCUGGCCACUCACACAUCAAUCAGCAAUCAAGAAGAUGCCCUUGCUUAUAUGCCAAUCCAUUGGAAGCAUUUCUUCAAUUGGACUUUUCGUGUAUUGACAAAAAGGUAAGCAGGACAUCUGUAUCAUGCCUUUUACAUAAUCGUUGACUCUCUGUGGACAUGGGUUAGGUGAAUCUUUUAUUUCUAGAGCACAUCACAAAGAUGUGUGAGAGUGUGCUGGUAGGAGAUGGCAGGAAUUACCAGAGUUCGUGUUGCAGGAGAAUGGACAUGCCUUCUCUGGGUACAUGGCCCUCUGUGUUCCACUUGAUCUUUGGGUAUAGAUGGCACCCAGUGAUUAAUUUGUUUCCAUUUCCCACACUCGAUGGGGCAAUCCAUCAGGGCUGUAGUUCUAGGAGCUUACUAGGCACCAGUCUUAAUACAGAAUCCAGUCUUGACAGGUUCACACUUGAGAGCUGGUGGGUUCCAGCCCUCUCUCCGAACAGCAUAUCACUGUACUUCCUUGGUCCCUUUCUAGUUGAGCCUAGGAAAGUAGGCCUAGCUUUGGUAAUUGCCCAAUGGAAGGAAGAAUCAGUUGUGUAGAACAGGGAGUAGAGUUUGUAGAAUAGGCUUAUUGCGGGAGGAAACAGCCCCUCCUUGGUGCAGCAAAUGGCCUCUUCUUAAUUGUGGAACAACUCCAGAGUACACUUAGGAAGCCCACAGGGCCCAUCUGAGCAUGCCACACAGCAGAGCUGUAUCCGCUGGUGUCCCUCAAACAGUAAUGGAUUAUAUGUUUCUCUAAUGUGGGCACUCUGUAGCCAUGAUGGAAGAGAAAUGACUGUCCCUAAACCCUUCCUGGCUUCCUAGAGGUCUUAGUUAUGGCUGCUUUCUACCCAGACCAUCACUACAAACUGAAGAUCUUUGAUCUUGAGAUUGCCCGGUUCACCUCCUUUUCCUCCCAUCUCAGAGAAGUUGGAAAAAUAGCUUCCUUUGGUCAGCGACUGAGAGUGUUGGCUCUUGCAGUGGAGGAGACACGUUUGCAAAGGACAGAGAAAACUCUCAUGGUUUGUGAUUAGCAGCUGUUUUAAACAAUGAAUGAAUUACCAUUCAACUCCAUGAAGCAGAGGGUCUGGUCUGCCUUUCCCAGAAGCUUUGUGGGCCUCCUUGGCUGAAUAUCAGCUCCUUUCAAGUUCUGUGCUUCCUUCCUGUGUGUGGUUUUGGGGUCUAUGCCUUCCACACACUCUAGAACUCAGGUGGCCACAGACCAAAAUUUGCCUUCUGACUAUGCCAAGUACUUCAUUUAAAUUUGAAAAGAGCAGUUCUAGAAUAUUUGUGUGAGGAGUGGGAGGUGGAGGGGGUAGCACCAGCUAUCAACGUAGGUAGUCUACAUCUUACUAAAUCUAUUUAUGAUGUUAUAUAUGAAUCUAA
rnacentral:sRNA from 1 species